rnacentral:pre_miRNA from 2 species
GGCUUCAUUAUUGCUGCUUUGUGUUUGUUGAACGGCCCAAAGCAAGUUUUGAUGGAGUUGC